ACGGGAGGCAGCAGUGGGGGAUAUUGCACAAUGGGGGAAACCCUGAUGCAGCGACGCCGCGUGAAGGAAGAAGAUCUCCGGAUCGUAAACUUCUAUCAGCAGGGAAGAAGAUGACGGUACCUGACUAAGAAGCCCCGGCUAACUACGUGCCAGCAGCCGCGGUAAUACGUAGGGGGCAAGCGUUAUCCGGAUUUACUGGGUGUAAAGGGAGCGUAGACGGCAUAGCAAGUCUGAUGUGAAAACCCGGGGCUCAACCGCGGGAUUGCAUUGGAAACUGUUAAGCUCGAGUACUGGAGGGGUAAGCGGAAUUCCUAGUGUAGCGGUGAAAUGCGUAGAUAUUAGGAGGAACACCGGUGGCGAAGGCGGCUUACUGGACAGUAACUGACGUUGAGGCUCGAAAGCGUGGGGAGCAAACAGGAUUAGAUACCCUGGUA
rnacentral:rRNA from 1 species